UACGUAGGGUGCAAGCGUUAAUCGGAAUUACUGGGCGUAAAGCGUGCGCAGGCGGCUUUGCAAGACAGAUGUGAAAUCCCCGGGCUCAACCUGGGAACUGCAUUUGUGCCUGCAAGGCUGGAGUACGGUAGAGGGGGAUGGAAUUCCGCGUGUAGCAGUGAAAUGCGUAGAUAUCGGAAGGAACAUCAGUGGCGAAAGCGACUUCCUGGACCAGUACCGACGUUCAGGCACGAAAGCGUGGGGAGCAAACAGG
rnacentral:rRNA from 1 species